rnacentral:tRNA from 1 species
AAGGGUAUAGCUCAGUGGUAGAGUGUGUGCUUAGCAUGCACGAGGUCCUGGGUUCAAUUCCCCAGUACCUCCA